rnacentral:rRNA from 1 species
AUUGAACGCUGGCGGCAGGCCUAACACAUGCAAGUCGAGCGGAUGAAGGGAGCUUGCUCCUGGAUUCAGCGGCGGACGGGUGAGUAAUGCCUAGGAAUCUGCCUGGUAGUGGGGGAUAACGUCCGGAAACGGGCGCUAAUAACGCAUACGUCCUGAGGGAGAAAGUGGGGGAUCUUCGGACCUCACGCUAUCAGAUGAGCCUAGGUCGGAUUAGCUAGUUGGUGGGGUAAAGGCCUACCAAGGCGACGAUCCGUAACUGGUCUGAGAGGAUGAUCAGUCACACUGGAACUGAGACACGGUCCAGACUCCUACGGGAGGCCGCAGUGGGGAAUAUUGGACGAUGGGCGAAAGCCUGAUCCAGCCAUGCCGCGUGUGUGAAGAAGGUCUUCGGAUUGUAAAGCACUUUAAGUUGGGAGGAAGGGCAGUAAGUUAAUACCUUGCUGUUUUGACGUUACCAACAGAAUAAGCACCGGCUAACUUCGUG